UACUCUAGUUACGUUAAAUUAAUAUGUAAAUAUAUCAACUUUUAAACAACAAAAGAACAAAUUUAUUUUAGCUGUCAACUUUUUACCCAAAGUUGUGCUUGUCCACGGUUUAAACAAAAAUGACAAAUUUGUAUGAAAAUAAAUCAAAUCAAAACCAAAACUACAUACCAACUGAUUUGUGUUUUGUUAUAAAUUAAACUUCCAAAUUCCAGAUUGAAUAUCGGUAGAAAUAUCCACAGAUGUUGAUUUUUCACAGAAGGUUACUCCCAACAAAUUAACGCUGGCCUCGGCGCCUUUUGACAACAACCUGAAAAACGUCGAACCCCAAACGUGGUAAGUAUUUCUUCUGGACAGCAGCUUCGCUUUAUAUUUAGAACUCGAUCCAAAACCAUAUUUUCAGGAAAACAUUAACCAUAUAAACCCAAAAAAUAAAAGGCUAAAAAAUAUAUGUAUGAAUAAAACGAUCAGAAAAAAAACUUACGACUUGGCAACAAUUCCCUUUUCAAAAAACCGUCUAAUCGAACUCAAAUUUCAAGAAAACAACUCUUGGUAGUUUGCCAUUAAUUAGCAAUAAUUUCUACGGCGUAAUUCGUUUCACCGCUGCCGUCUUUUCGCUUUCGUAGCUAACAAGGAAGUAUUGGCGCUUAUCAAUUGGAAAUUUUGAGUUCCCUCAAGCGAUCAAGACUUCGCUCGCAACACAGCACAUGGACAGUGAUGCCGAACUUCAAGCCGGCGAUAAGCAGUGGUUAAAGUCUCAGGCGGCGGAUGUAUAUACAAAGUUGAAAUCAAAACACUUGUA